rnacentral:rRNA from 1 species
AUUCCAGCUCCAAUAGCGUAUAUUAAAGUUGUUGCAGUUAAAAAGCUCGUAGUUGGAUUUCUGGUUAGAUGCGCCUGGCCCGCCGACGUUCAGUCGUGUGAAGUGCUGGUGCGCAACUGCCAUCCUUCUAGAGAAGGGACCAACGGUUCAUUCCGGUUCGGUUCACAAUCUAGAUCUUUUACUUUGAAAAAAUUAGAGUGUUUAAAGCAGGCUUUUGCUAUGAAUACAUUAGCAUGGAAUAAUAAUUUAGGACUCUGUUUCUAUUUUGUUGGUUUCCGGAAACGGAGUAAUGAUUAAUAGGGAUAGUUGGGGGCGUUUAUAUUCCGUUGUCAGAGGUGAAAUUCUUGGAUUUACGGAAGAUAAACUACUGCGAAAGCAUUCGCCAAGGAUGUUUUCAUCG